rnacentral:rRNA from 1 species
AAUGAACGCUGGCGGCGCGCCUAAUACAUGCAAGUCGAGCGAGAAGACGUAGCAAUACGUUUGUAAAGCGGCGAACGGGUGAGGAAUACAUGGGUAACCUACCCUAGAGUGGGGAAUAACUAGCCGAAAGGUUAGCUAAUACCGCGUACGCUCCUUGGACUUCGGUUCAGGGAGGAAAGCGAUGCCGAGGGUAUCGCGCUCUUGGAUGGGCUCAUGUCCUAUCAGCUUGUUGGNGAGGUAACGGCUCACCAAGGCUUCGACGGGUAGCUGGUCUGAGAGGACGAUCAGCCACACUGGCACUGCGACACGGGCCAGACUCCUACGGGAGGCAGCAGUAAGGAAUAUUGCGCAAUGGGCGAAAGCCUGACGCAGCGACGCCGCGUGGGGGAUGAAGGUCUUCGGAUUGUAAACCCCUUUCGGGAGGGAAGAUGGAAUGGGGUAACCCAUUCGGACGGUACCGUCCAGAAGCAGCCACGGCUAACUUCGUGCC